rnacentral:tRNA from 2 species
UGGGGUAUCGCCAAGCGGUAAGGCACCGGUUUUUGAUACCGGCAUUCCCUGGUUCGAAUCCAGGUACCCCAGACA